GUUAGUGGUUCCCUCCAUUGUCCGGUGUCAUGGGGACAGGUCCUGGUCACCCCCCCUGUGCUCGUGGAGCUCUGUGUCAUGGGGACAGGUCCUGGCCACUGCCCUGUGCUCGCGGAGCUCUGUGUCAUGGGGACAGGUCCUGCUCACCCCCCUGUGCCCAUGGAGCUCUGUGUCAUGGAGACAGGUCCUGGUCACCCCCUUGUGCCCAUAGAGCCUGUGUCAUGGGGACAGGUCCUGGCCACCACCCUGUGCCCGUGGAGCUCUGUGACAUGGGAACAGGUCCUGCUCAUCUCCUUGUGCCCGCAGAGCCUAUGUCAUGGGGAUGGGUCCUGGUCCCAGGUUGUGGGCUGUGUGGAGACUCGAAUGCCAGGCUGCCCCUUGGACUCUCAAUCUGCAGGCCUGUAGGGAAGACAGGACCCAUGUACAGGAGGUCAUGGACAAAGACCGUCCCUUCCAGACUGGAGCGUCCUCCUCUGCUCCAAAUCCCAAGAACCUGCAGACUCCCCAGCAUCUGCGCUCGCUCAGCCCUGUUGUGAAGGAGGGGAGACCCCCGGCCGUGGGAAUUGAGUCCAGUUUUCAGGAAAAACUUAGUUGAAACAGGGCCUUUGCAUCUGCCAUUCUCUCCGCCCCGAGGGCCCUUGCUUGCCACCUCUGUGGGUCCAGUUAAUUCCUUCCUUCCAUCGAUGCCAACUCAGGCAGCAGUUCUUUAGAGAUGUCUUCCUCGGGUCUCAGAAUGCCCUGCGCUUCUCUUUGGCAGCAUGUGUCACUGUUUU
rnacentral:lncRNA from 1 species